AGAAGAGAUGAGCAGUAGGGUGCCACAAUAGCGAGCAUUUCUACUCUACAGAAAUGAGAUAGUAAAUGUAUAACCUGGCUCCAGGACACCUCUUGGUCACAUCUUCACUGCUUACCGUGAGAUCUAGGCUAUGCGCAGACACUACCUUCUGAUACAAAAAAGGAUUCAACUGAGACAGGGAAUUGUACUUUGAGGAAGCAGCCAGAAUCAACAUAUUGUGGAACCUACGCCACAGGAACUUUUUCGUACUCUCAUGAAGUUGAGUCAAGCAUACCAUAGAACAUCUAGUGUUGUUCCUAUUGUCUGUUCUCCCCACCCUAAUUUUCUGCUUUAGUUGACCUCUGCUUUUCAGAUUGUCACAUACCACAUUCCCUUUCCCCGCCACCACUGCUGCUGGACCCCUCUGGUAUUUUCGCUGGAUCCCACAGCUCUUGAAAGC
rnacentral:lncRNA from 1 species